CUACGAUCACAUCAUGUUGAAAGACCGGUUCCCGUAUAAUCACCGAAGUUAAGCAGCGACGAGCCCGGUCAGUACCUAGAUGGGUGACCACUUAGGAAUACCCGGUGUUGUGA